rnacentral:lncRNA from 1 species
CUAGGCCAUAUCCAGUAACAGAGUCUACUGCAUCAUAUUAACUGAUAAACCCAGGAUGACAAGAGAAACAUGGGACUCACUCUUCGUUUGCAUUGACUCCAGCUAAGAGCUUCAGUUUUCGUGCUUUGCUUCAGAAUUAUUAUUCUAUGAGCCAAAUAGCAUUGAGAAAGACCAGCCCAGAAUGUCUAUCUCCAUUCUAUGGAUAAGAAAACAUUCAGAAUUAAAAAAGAAAAUGGACUGACUGUAGCAGGUCUGUGUAAGAACUCAGGGGAUCAGGACAAAUCCCAGUCUGGUUUCAGAAGUGGGGAAUAGGGCACUGGAGAUGGGGCCACACACACUUUGGCCUAGCAGAGGAGAAACUCCUAUCCUCAAAUUUCCUCUCACUUUCACCCAUGUUGCAAACAAAGACAUUAGACGCAAAUAGGAAAUGUUAUAUUUAAAUUUUGACUGACCAAUCAAUUCUAAAACCUUGGUAUGAGCAAACCUUCUAGUCAUCAGGUGCUCUGGCUAUUAGCUACUAAACUCUUUGAUAGUCAGAAACAUUACUAUUUUGCUUUGAAGCAGAAGCAGCAUCUUUCUUGCCAUGUGCUCCUCUGGACUCUCCCAGGGACUUGAGUAGUCUGUUUUUCUUUGUUUCCAUGUGUCCUUGUACUUAUCUGUCUUCUCUUUCUUCCAGUAUCUCUUCCAUUUUCUUAGUUCAUGCCUUUGUCUCACCAACUUCCUUUUUCUGUGUAAUUUGCUUUAAUACACCCAGUUUCUUUCUCUAUGUGUUUUCAUUUCAAUGAAUGUGAAAUACUUCUUAAUUUAUCAGGACUUUACCUAAUGAUUUUAGUGGGCUUUACUUUAAAUGGAAAGUGGUGGUACACUGGUUUUGCUUAUCCUGAAGAAUUCCCUGUAAAUGCCAAAGAGAUACUAAUAUUAUCCAGCAUUUAUAAAAGACAAAGCAUCUGGAGAAAUUUUUUUCAUAGGCAAUAACUUAUUCUUUAAAAAGUGAAGUGAUCGCAAUUAUCCCUGUUCCUGGAAGAAUAAAUUUUACAAUAACUU